rnacentral:rRNA from 1 species
AUUGAACGCUGGCGGCAGGCCUAACACAUGCAAGUCGAACGAGUGGCGGACGGGUGAGUAAUGUCUGGGAAACUGCCUGAUCGAGGGGGCUAACUACUGGAAACGGUAGCUAAUACCGCUUACCAUCAGAUCUGCCCUGAUGGGAUUAGCUAGUUGGUGGGGUAACGGCUCACCAAGGCGACGAUGCCUAGCUGGUCUGAGAGGAUGACCAGCCACACUGGAACUGAGACACGGUCCAGACUCCUACGGGAGGCAGCAGUGGGGAAUAUUGCACAAUGGGCGCAAGCCUGAUGCAGCCAUGCCGCGUGUAUGAAGAAGGCCUUCGGGUGGUAAAGUACUUUCAGCGGGGAGGCGUUACCCGCAGAAGAAGCACCGGCUAACUCCGUGCCAGCAGCCGCGGUAAUUC